AUUGAACGCUGGCGGCAUGCCUUACACAUGCAAGUCGAACGGCAGCACGGGAGCUUGCUCCUGGUGGCGAGUGGCGAACGGGUGAGUAAUACAUCGGAACGUACCCUGAAGUGGGGGAUAACGUAGCGAAAGUUACGCUAAUACCGCAUAUUCUGUGAGCAGGAAAGAGGGGAUCGCAAGACCUCUUGCUUUAGGAGCGGCCGAUGUCGGAUUAGCUAGUUGGUGAGGUAAAGGCUCACCAAGGCGACGAUCCGUAGCGGGUCUGAGAGGAUGAUCCGCCACACUGGGACUGAGACACGGCCCAGACUCCUACGGGAGGCAGCAGUGGGGAAUUUUGGACAAUGGGCGCAAGCCUGAUCCAGCCAUGCCGCGUGAGUGAAGAAGGCCUC
rnacentral:rRNA from 1 species